AGCAGCCGCGGUAAUUCCAGCUCCAAUAGCGUAUAUUAAAGUUGUUGCAGUUAAAAAGCUCGUAGUUGAAUUUCGGGAUCAAUAUAUUGGUCGUGCCUCCGGUAUGCACUGGUAUUAUUGAUUUCUACCUUCUGACGAACUGUGAUGUCAUUAAUUUGGUGUCAUGGGGAAUCAGGACUGUUACUUUGAAAAAAUUAGAGUGUUUAAAGCAGGCACACGCUUGAAUACAUUAGCAUGGAAUAAUGAAAUAGGACGUUUGACCCUAUUUUGUUGGUUUCUAGGAUCGACGUAAUGAUUAAUAGGGAUAGUUGGGGGCAUUAGUAUUCAAUUGUCAGAGGUGAAAUUCUUGGAUUUAUUGAAGACUAACUACUGCGAAAGCAUUUGCCAAGGAUGUUUU
rnacentral:rRNA from 1 species